rnacentral:rRNA from 1 species
UUCGCAAUGCCCGAAAGGGUGACGAAGCGACGCCGCGUGGGUGAGGAAGGCCCUCGGGUUGUAAAACCCUGUCAGGAGUUAAGAAAUGUAAGUGCGCUAUAUCGCAUUUAUUUGACGAAGGCUCCAAAGGAAGCCACGGCUAACUCUGUGCCAGCAGCCGCGGUAAUACAGAGGUGGCAAGCGUUGUUCGGAAUUAUUGGGCGUAAAGAGCACGUAGGUGGGUUUGCAAGUCAGAUGUGAAAGCCUUCUGUUCAACGGAAGAAUUGCAUCUGAAACUGCAAGUCUUGAGUGUAGGAGGGGAGAAUGGAACUUCUGGUGGAGCGGUGAAAUGCGUAGAUAUCAGAAGGAACGCCGGCGGCGAAAGCGAUUCUCUGGCCUAUUACUGACACUCAGUGUGCGAAAGCUAGGGGAGCAAACGGGAUUAGAUACCCCGGUAGUCCUAGCCGUAAACGAUGGGCACUAAGUAGAGGGGUUUUA